rnacentral:tRNA from 1 species
GGGAGUGUAGUUUAGUUGGUAGAGUGCUUGCUUGCCCAGCAUGCAUGAAGCCCUGGGUUCAAUGCCCAGCACAGCUU